CAUCUUCGUCAUGGCCCCGAAGCUCAGCUCGGAGGUGGAACUCCUUCAUCGAUCCCGUUUAGUGUGCAAGCACGGAUAAUCUGCUUCCUAAAAAGCAACUGCCGGUAAAAAGGACAGGACAACCUAACCCUGUGCAAUGAAACCCUUUUCGCUAGUAGUUAUGGGGCAACCCUUUCGGCCUGGCAAGUUUUAAACCGUGGCCUACCAAACAAAGCAUAGUAACAUGUUGCCGCAAAACCAGCAUGUGCGAAAAAUUUCCGAAUGUAUGUAGCCCAGUGUACGGGCCGAAACCUCACUGCCAAUGCCGAAAUAGUUUCCGAUUUUUGGACCCUUCUGCGAAACCUCGCGAAACUGCCGGAACCUGCCGAAACCCUGAAAAUGCUGUAUUUUAUGACGUCCAUGGUAUGCAAACGUUGUUCGUGGGCCCUAUGUGCCUUUGCGCCUCAUGGGACCUGCUCAUGUGUGUCCGAAGGCACUCCGGGGCACCAUAAUGUUACUAAUCUGCGAUUAAAGCUUGAAUUCACUGACAUUUUUCUUAUGUAACUGGCGUCUGAUGUUGGGAUGCGCAAAGGGAAACUUUUACAUGAAGCUGCUGAUUCCUGAAGGCGCCCUUGCUUGGACUCGGUCCGGCAGUACUUGCAGAUGAUAGUCCAGUUCUUACACUUUGCAUUAUAUUUUUUCUUCUCAAAGUGAGCCCAAACGGUCUGAUCAGCGGUCCUUCCGCCCUUGUUUUUGACCGAAUCUGUGUCUGCACUGACAACGGAAGUUGUCUGAGACAUUGAUAAGAUAAACUCAACAUUCGCAGAGUUUCGCAGCCUUGCACAACGCGCCUACACUUUGAAACUAUUCAAAGUAGGUUCCGCCGUACGGCGCUAGCCGAAAGGGGCCGAAACUAGUUUCGGCAUUUUCCGCAGAACCNNNNNNNNNNNNNNNNNNNNNNNNNNNNNNNNNNNNNNNNNNNNNNNNNNUCACCACCAUCAUCACCAUUAUUACCAUCAUUAUCACCACCAUCAUCACCAUUAUUACCAGGAUUAUCACCAUCAUCAUCACCAUUAUUACCAUCAUUAUCACCAAUCAUCGUCAUGAAUGCCAGCAUCAUUACCUCAUCAAGGACGUACGAUUUCCCCCCCACAUACACACACCUCUCCCUCCCCCCCGCUGCCCGCAGCCCUCCGCACUUACUUGUCCAGCGAAGCCGACACGAGAGCGCCGCCCUCCGCCUGCCCCUCUCCCCCCGAUGGGGGAAGCAGCCCCAGCGCUGUGACCUGGUACUCGUGGCCCUCAAGUACGGCAAGGCAGGCUGCAGUCUGCGGGUCCCACACGCGAACCGUCUUAUCUCGGGAGCCUGAGAGGAAUAAGGAAUGGGUAGGAGGGUUUAACUUACAACGGAAGGGGGAGAAGGCAUCGAACGCAAACAUCAACGCAAGGGGAAUUAAGGUCCCGGGGGGGGAUUGCUUCAUGCAAAGCAUCGCAGAGAAGGGAGUAUAUAUACACCUACACCUUUUUGGAGGGUGACGCUGCUCAAUGUGUAAAACAUACAACACACGUAUGCAAACACGAACAUGCACAAAACACGCACCCGUGAUGAUCGCGCCCUGAGGGUAGUCGCUCAGAGCCCCCGGCGGAGCGUAUAGCACAGGGCAUACAAAGUCCGUGUGGCCGACCAGCGUCUGCGCCAGGCUGAAACCGGCGGUGCCGCCGCGGGGCCCAGAUGAAGAUGUGCCGGCCUCGGGGGCGGGGGAGUCCUCCACCCAUACUUUGGCGGUCUUGUCCCUGCUUCCAGUCAAAACACCUAGGGCACAUACUGAUACGCCACGGACCUGAGGGGGUCGGUGCAGGUGUGGUUGCACAAAAGGCGAAAAGGGCUUGAUGCUGGGAUGCAGGGUAUCUCUUGAAAGGCAUGUAGAGCAGCAUACCUUACAUACGUGCAAAGAAACUAGCAAGUAUGGUUAAGAAAUAAAGGGAGGAAACUAGGCAGGUCCCGCAACGCCAGGUGCUAGAUCUUGAAGACCACAUCCGACACUAUUCAUAGCCUUGAUCAUGUCUAAUUCAUCAGAUCUACAAACGAUAAAGACCAUUGGUUUUAACUGUGUAAUAUAUAUGGAGCGUGACCUUACAUCUUCGUCAUGGCCCCGAAGCUCAGCUCGGAGGUGGAACUCCUUCAUCGAUCCCGUUUAGUGUGCAAGCACGGAUAAUCUGCUUCCUAAAAAGCAACUGCCGGUAAAAAGGACAGGACAACCUAACCCUGUGCAAUGAAACCCUUUUCGCUAGUAGUUAUGGGGCAACCCUUUCGGCCUGGCAAGUUUUAAACCGUGGCCUACCAAACAAAGCAUAGUAACAUGUUGCCGCAAAACCAGCAUGUGCGAAAAAUUUCCGAAUGUAUGUAGCCCAGUGUACGGGCCGAAACCUCACUGCCAAUGCCGAAAUAGUUUCCGAUUUUUGGACCCUUCUGCGAAACCUCGCGAAACUGCCGGAACCUGC
rnacentral:lncRNA from 1 species